rnacentral:rRNA from 1 species
CUCGUAGUUGGAUUUCUGUGGGGGCGGAGCGGCCGGCCGCAACUUGCGGUUCGAGCUAGCGCUUCCCCUACAUCCUGCCGCGAACCGUGCUACCAUUAGUUUGGUGGCGCCGGGGAUCGGCUCGUUUACUUUGAGAAAAAUAGAGUGUUCAAAGCAGGCCACACGCCUUGAAUAAGUUAGCAUGGAAUAAUAAUAAAGGACUUCGGUUCUAUUUUGUUGGUGUUCGGGACUGAAGUAAUGAUUGAUAGGGACAGUUGGGGCGGUCAGUAUUCCAAAGCGAGAGGUGAAAUUCUUAGACCUUCGGAAGACUAACAGCUGCGAAAGCGUUCCGCAAGGAUGUUCCCUUUGAUCAAGAACGAAAGUUGGGGGAUCGAAGACGAUCAGAUACCGUCGUAGUCUCAACUAUAAACUAUACCAGCUAGGGAUCGGCCAACGUUAAAUUAUUCGACUUGGUCGGCACCUUAUGAGAAAUCAAAGCAUCUGGGUUCCGGGGGGAGUAUGGUCGCAAGGCUGAAACUUAAAGGAAUUGACGGAAGGGCACCACCAGCCGUGGAGCCUGUGGCUUAAUUUGACUCAACACGGGAAAACUUACCAGGUCCAGACAUAGUAAGGAUUGACAGAUUGAUAGCUCUUUCUUGAUUCUGUGGGUGGUGGUGCAUGGCCGUUCUUAGUUGGUGGAGUGAUUUGUCUGGUUAAUUCCGUUAACGAACGAGACCCCAGCCUGCUAAAUAGCGCGGUUGAGCUUUGCUCGGCGCGAGCUUCUUGGAGGGACUAUGAUGCGCGAUAGCACAUGGAAGUUUGGGGCAAUAACAGGUCUGUGAUGCCCUUAGAUGUUCUGGGCCGCACACGGGCUACACUGGCGCCUGCCACGAGCAUAUCAGCUGGCCCGAGAGGGUCUUGGCUAAUCUUUUGAACCGGCGCCGUGCUUGGGAUUGACCAUUGCAAUUGUUGGUCAUGCAACGAGGAAUGCCUUGUAAACGCGAGUCAUCAACUCGCAUUGAAUACGUCCCUGCCCUUUGUACACACCGCCCGUCGCUCUACGAUGAAUGGUCCGAUGAAAUUUUCGGA